UACGUAGGGUGCGAGCGUUAAUCGGAAUUACUGGGCGUAAAGCGUGCGCAGGCGGUAAUGUAAGACAGAUGUGAAAAUCCCCGGGCUCAACCUGGGACCUGCAUUUGUGACUGCAUUGCUGGAGUGCGGCAGAGGGGAUGGAAUUCCGCGUGUAGCAGUGAAAUGCGUAGAUAUGCGGAGGAACACCGAUGGCGAAGGCAAUCCCUGGGCCUGCACUGACGCUCAUGCACGAAAGCGUGGGAGC
rnacentral:rRNA from 1 species